CAGUCAACGGUUUUACGUCGGUGACUAAAUGAAGUAUUAGUCAAAAGCACCUACAAGUAACCAAAAAGUAUUUCGCUGUGGGUGUUUAGAAUAUUUUUUAAUUUUAUUAUUAUUAUUGUUAUUGAACUGUACAUGGUUUUUAAUAUUUAUUUUUUUGUUAGUCGAGACUUUUACGUGUCAAUAAAUAAAUUAAUAUAUUUAAAACUAAUUGCGAAAGCAUUGGCUUUGAGAAGCCAGAUAAAUACCUUGCGCAACGACAAUUCUUCAAGAGAACUGUUAGAAGCUACCCAGCGCUUCGCCCUUGCAAAAAAGAUAGCGGAGUUAAAAAAACAACAUUUAAUCGAAUUAGAUUUAAUAAAGAACCUUGGGACGCCAAUUAAUUCAUGUUGGACAAAGCAACGUAAGAAUCAAUUUUGGGAACACGAUUGCCAACGAAAUUUAUCUGCUUUUUUUUAAGAAAACUUUCGCAUGAACCGAAGUUCCUUUGAUAAAUUAUGUGAAAUCCUCCGCCCUUUACAAAAAAUUAAUACGAACUGCCGAAAAGUUAUUCCUAUCGAGAAAAGAGUGGCUUUAAUACUAUUUGCUUUAGGGUCAUCUGCAGAGUAUCGGAGUAUCGCUAACAUGUUCGGUGUGGGAAAAUCUACGGUUUGCGAAAUUUUACUAAAAUUUUACACCGAAAUCUGGAGGUUAAUGCAAUGCAACCAUCGUUUUCCAAAUUUUUCCACUAAAUAGAGAAAGUGUUGCAGAAUUGGUGACUGGUUUCGAGAUACCGUUUUACUUACAUACAUAAUAGUCGGGAGUCCCGGGCGACGUAAUGGCUCUCAAAUUUAUGAGACGUCAUCAUUUAAGGAAGUAAUGGAUAAUUGUUCUUUAAUAAGCGAAAUGUCUCGAGAAAUUUCAGGCGUAAAUGUGUCAGCAUUUAUAAUUGGGGAUUCGGCUUUUCGAUUUAGCAAACAACUGAAGAAACCGUAACCAUUUACCGUAAAUCAAAAUCAUCAUGAGAAGGUAUUCAACUACGCUCUUUCGAAAACACGUACAGUUGUCGAAAAUGCUUUUGGACACCUCAAAGCCCACUUUCGGCGUAUUGGGAAAGGAACUGACAACUCUGUAUGGAAUGCCAACUCAAUAAUAAAAGCUUGUUGCGUCCUUCACAAUUUUUCAAGUGAUAUCAACGAUACUCUAAACGCGCUUUAAAAGAGUUGGAGACUAGACGCCAAUCGUGUCAUGUUUCAUAUGAAUUUGACGACCCAAUUAAUGGAGAAACGAUUCGCACAGCACUUUGUACAUAUUUUCAAAAGUACAUGUGUACAUACAUAUAUUGCAUCAUAAUGUGUACAUUUUACAGAAUUGCAUAUACAGUAAAUCAAAGAUAAAGUUGUACACACACAAACAAUUGAACUAAUUUAAAGCGACGAUAAGCAUCGUCCAAAACGAAAAUAUAUUCAUUUAUUUUUUAUUGUUUUUAGAAAU